ACCACAGGGAUUGCCCUAGUAACGGCGAGUGAAGCGGCAACAGCUCAAAUUUGAAAUCUGGCUCUUUUAGAGUCCGAGUUGUAAUUUGCAGAGGGCGCUUUGGCUUUGGCAGCGGUCCAAGUUCCUUGGAACAGGACGUCACAGAGGGUGAGAAUCCCGUACGUGGUCGCUGGCUAUUGCCGUGUAAAGCCCCUUCGACGAGUCGAGUUGUUUGGGAAUGCAGCUCUAAAUGGGAGGUACAUUUCUUCUAAAGCUAAAUAUUGGCCAGAGACCGAUAGCGCACAAGUAGAGUGAUCGAAAGAUGAAAAGCACUUUGGAAAGAGAGUCAAACAGCACGUGAAAUUGUUGAAAGGGAAGCGCUUGCAGCCAGACUUGCUUACAGUUGCUCAUCCGGGUUUUUACCCGGUGCACUCUUCUGUAGGCAGGCCAGCAUCAGUUUGGGCGGUAGGAUAAAGGUCUCUGUCACGUACCUCCUUUCGGGGAGGCCUUAUAGGGGAGACGACAUACUACCAGCCUGGACUGAGGUCCGCGCAUCUGCUAGGAUGCUGGCGUAAUGGCUGUAAGCGGCCCGUCUUGAAACACGGACCAAGGAGUCUAACAUCUAUGCGAGUGUUUGGGUGUCAAGCCCGAGCGCGUAAUGAAAGUGAACGGAGGUGGGAACCCGCAAGGGUGCACCAUCGACCGAUCCUGAUGUCUUCGGAAGGAUUUGAGUAAGAGCAUGGCUGUUGGGACCCGAAAGAUGGUGAACUAUGCUUGAAUAGGGUGAAGCCAGAGGAAACUCUGGUGGAGGCUCGCAGCGGUUCUGACGUGCAAAUCGAUCGUCAAAUUUGGGCAUAGGGGCGAAAGACUAAUCGAACUAUCUAGUAGCUGGUC
rnacentral:rRNA from 1 species